AACCAAUAUGGCGGCCUGAAAUUGUUUUAAAGUUUUUCUUGUGAAAUUUGGUUGAAAAUGGCACUUAAUACGUGGGUUACCGAUAAACUUCACGACAUACUGGGCUUCUCUGAUAAACAUACUGUAGAGUACCUUGUUAGUUUGAGCAAAAGCACUAAAACAUCGGAGUCUUUUCGCGAAAAACUUCAAGGCUUUCUAGGCCCCUUGGACGGUGAUGUUCUGAACUUUGCAAAUGAUCUGUGGCAGCGUGUACCCCAUCAAGAGGUA